GAUGAAGAACGUAGCGAAAUGCGAUAAGUAAUGUGAAUUGCAGAAUUCAGUGAAUCAUCGAAUCUUUGAACGCACAUUGCGCCCGCCAGUAUUCUGGCGGGCAUGCCUGUUCGAGCGUCAUUUCAAACCUCAAGCCCCCGGGCUUGGUGUUGGGGAUCGGCGUGCCCUCGCGGCGCGCCGUCCCCUAAAUCUAGUGGCGGUCUCGCUGUAGCUUCCUCUGCGUAGUAGCAACACUCGCACUGGAUCGCAGCGCGGCCACGCCGUUAAACCCCCCACUUCUGAAAGUUUGACCUCGGAUCAGGUAGGAAUACCCGCUGAACUUAAGCAUAUCAAUAAGCGGAGGA
rnacentral:misc_RNA from 1 species